rnacentral:lncRNA from 1 species
UGGUGGAGGGCUAUUAUAUGAUGAUAUUAAGGUCCAUGCAAAAUUGCAACUCAUUUGGAUAUUCCUAGCUUGUACCUCCUUCACAAAGCUUCUUUCUGGACAGAAACUUUGGAAAAUCAUAAUUAAACAAUUACUAAGCAAAUGAGGUUUCAUUUUGGCAUGUGGUAAUUAUAUGGACAUGAAAAUAUGUCCAAGGAGUUUUAGAUCAAUUGGGCAAAGGAAAAUGGCACUUGCUUCACAAUGUGCCAUUUAGGGCAGAAUAGGAAAUGAAUUAUUGGAGGAUUAUUUUUGAACAUGGAAAUGAAAAGUUUUGCCAUAUUUGAUCAAUAUAUGACCCAAACAAUUUAUGAGAAUUAUUUGGGAAUCUUUGGAGUGAUGGAAAUAUAGGUUGCUUCACAACCUAGGGCAAUUUGAGUUAUUCCUUUAAUAGAAAAGGAAAUAUUCCCAAUAAAAAGAAUAUUGGGAUUUGGGCUAGGAUGAAAAUGAUAGGGUCUAGGGAAAGAUUUGGGAAUGCCAGGCCACUCUGGAAGCAAAGAAGAGGGCAUCUUCUUUAGUUUCCAGACCACAAAGCCACGAAAAAGAAAAACUCAGGCAAAAACCUCGGAAAAACAAAAGAAAAAGAAAGGGCCAAAAAUCAGGCUGUCACAAACCUUACCCCCUAAAAGAAAUCUCGUCCUCAAGAUUUGGUUGCUCAGGGAACAAGUAUGAACAUUCUGACUUAAGGAAACCGUUUCCAACUCGGGUAUCCUUUUUCCUUUAUUGUUGUUCCCAUUAAAUUUUUAUCUGACUGGCCCUGGGGUAGUUUGCUUUACUGUAUCCUCAUUUUGACAGAUCUUACCUGGCUUGCUCAUGCUUAUAUAGGCUCCAAUUUCUUUUUAGAUCUGCUGACUAGCUGAGUGUGAUUUAAUUAUCACGACUGAAAUAUAUGUCCGUCUCACAAAUCCAAAAGUGAUUUCCGUUGGGUGUGCCACCUGGCACUGACAACCUUUCAUGUAAAGAUGAUUAGAAUUUUCUGAUGAAAACUCAAGCUCUGACUCUUUGCAUUGGGUUUCUCCACUAAAUGCAGGUCCUUUGGGUUCCAAACAGUGAGUUAAAACAUAACCGUUUCCUGACAGAUUCUGACUCAUCACAAAAGUUUCUGAAUCAUCUUAACUGGUUCCAUUAUCGUGAGUAUCGGAUCCGUACCAAAUAUUUGAUAGUCUCCUGUCGCGGCCAGCAUAAAGGAUUUGGCCUGUAUGAUAAUAUCUGCAGACUUGGCUGACGGUGGUUCUGACGGAAAAAUUUUGUUCACGGCAGGCUAUCCAUGAUGAUUCAUAUAAGUGAGGACUCAGGCUUCCAGACUGUUAUUCCUCAUGCCGAUUACUCAUGUUGUAGGCAUAUCCAUGUAGAUCAAUACUGACUUAGACUGUCCGGGGGAUCUGCACCAUGGGGGUCGUGUACAAUUUUCAUACCUACAUCACUGGUCUUGCUCCUUCAUUAUUGUUUUCUUGGUUUGGAUCUUUGGCUGAAAGAGCUGGGCCAUAUUGCUUCUUCGUAUGACCAUAGGUACUGUCGGUGCAAUUUUUUCCGGCAAUUGGAGUUUAUCUCAUUUUUCUGAUAGGGUAACCCAUUAAAUGGCAGGUCUAUCACUUCUCAAGUUCUGACCGCAGAAAAAUGAUCAUCCGAAAUCCUUGCAAGAAAUCGGCAAAUAAAUCAGUAGCCACCAGAACGGCCUUUACAACUCAUAUCUGGGACAUUACUGAAAUAACUAAACCACGGCUCAGGACAGCCGAAAAGCAGCUCAGAGCAUGAGACCGGGUCGAUAAGAAGAAGGUGGCAGCUCCCUAAAAUAGCCAGCAGCUCCCUAAAAUAGCCAAAAAGCAGCUAUAGGACUACUGUCACAAAAAGAAACUCAACAACUGUACGAGACGGCCGAAAAGCAGCUCAGACUCGUGACAGUUGUUGAAGAGAGAAACAAGAAUCGGCAUCCACCCCGGAUAGCUAGAAACAGCUCAGAUCACACGCGUGGUGCCGUCAUUGGAGAAAAAGGGGACACGGGCUCAUCAGGAUCAUUUUCCAGGUUAACGGGUUCUUGUAUUGAGCUCAUUGAGGUCAUCAGUCCUCAUAAUCCUUUGUCACACUGCGGUGUAUACUGGCUUUCUUCUCUUAAUCAUCCUCAUGUGGUUAUCAGAUCCUCAUCCGAGUGACUUGUAAGAUCUUGAUGGUAUGCUCAUUGCAUAUAUAUGAGGACCUGAUUCCGAGACAGACGUGUAUUCUGACUGAUUCUUGAUUCUAACAAAAAUAUUGCGGAUCUGAUUCUUGGGAUUCACUGCCAUAUGCUGUCAAUUCACAGCGUACUACCUUGUACCAAUGUCUUACUGAGGAAUAUUUGAUAGCUUGUGCUUGAAACUUUCAUCAGACAACUUGCUGAAGAAGACUGAAUAUCGUGCUUCAGAAGCUUACCCCCUUAAAGACUUUGCUGGGGAAAGACCCGGUACCUUAUGCCGGAAGCUUUUGCGGUUGCUUACUGAAGAAGGCAGAGUACCUUGCGCGAGAAGUCAUCCAUGUAUCGUACUGAGGAAGAUAGAUUAAUCUUGCCUUGGAAGCUUCUCUGGUAUCUUGCGAGGGAAGAUUGGGUUGCUUCCACCAGAAGCUUCUUAUUGUGAUAUGCGGACCGAGUACCACAUAUACAUACCAUCUUAAUAUUUCUGAUGUUGAUUUCCUGUAUGAAACAGGGUUUUACUGGACUAUCCUCCUUUCUGAGUAUAUGCCAUAUAUUUGCUUGCUUCCAGGUACAUCGAGUUCCAAAAUCAUCCUCAACGAAAAAUUAAACUUGUAUCUGAGCCAUACCUUUGAUAAUAUUCUGUCAACCUUGCACACAACUUAUCUUCUUGCUGAUUUAAUCAUUUUGUUGUGAUGAGUGCACGCUAAUGCAAACUUGAUACUGACAGUCCAUCCAGGAUUUCUUUUGCAUCCAGACAAGAUAUUCCCAAUUUUUCAGUGCAGUCUGCUGAUAAUUCCAUUUUGUUUAGCUGAGUUUCCAAAUAUAUGUAUUUCUUGCUGACUCUUCGGGUCCAGUGUCGGCUGACGAGCAACUUUAAUAGGGGAAGAAUUUGUAACACCGAAGGCCCAAAGAAAGGAACAAAAGAAACGACUAAAACAAAAGCACACAAGCAUCCUACUAAUAUAAUUAAUCAAGCAAUCACCACAUAUUACUGCUACUCACACAAUAAUAUGCAUGCACACCUAAGCACGCAAAUCUCGCGGGAACUCCGGUAUUGCGGUCUAAUAUGCUGUGACGAUGUGCACGAGGACGAAUAAAUGUGUGGAAGAAUUGGUGUAAACAACGCUACACCAAGUGCUAGCUUAGCCAGAUAGCAACCUGGACAAGCUUGGAGGUAAGGACGUACUCGGUAAUCAUGUAGUGGGACACGAAGGUCGCAACUACAUUAUUAUCAAGCGGAUGGAAAAAGAUCCGUACUCGUCCAAGAAAUAGGAUAGCGGGGAAAAACUGAGGCUGCUGACAUUGCCCUUUCUUGAUAACUACGAUCAUGAAGGGUUGCUAACACGACAAAAGAAAAGAACGAUCCGGGAUAGACGCAUGUCCAUCACCGAAAUGAUAGACGGGACUGAAAGAAAGACAUCGGUGCGAUACCUGAGCACCAUUUUUUCAAACAGUGUCGGGAUCACUUGGCAUCACUCUACUGGGACAGAAACGACACCAAACACCGAAAGAAAAAGGGACUGGAGAAAUGCAAAGGUUGAGCUGUAGUGGAUCCAAACCGAUGCCAGCUACACUCACCAGAUAAACCGUUAGUACAAAUACUAAGGCUAUAUGCAUGCUAUGCAACAAACAAAUGUUGCGACCAAAUGCAAUAAUCAAGCCAGAAUCUAUACUACCAAUUUCUAAUGUUCGCGCGGUCUAGGGCGUCCUACAGCCAGACCUGCUCUGAUACCAAGCCUAUGUCACCCCGGCUCAGAGAAAACCGGAACGCCCCGUAUUCCAGCCCAGAGAUCAAGGAGAAGUCUUCUGGAAUACGGCACUGCUCAGCAAACAACAAACCAGCUUUCUAUUAUUACACGAAUAUGAAUACAAGGUCUCCGAUAUUACAAUAAAUAACCUCGGUACGGCGACACUAUGCCUGCCACUGUUGUUCUAUGCAAGCAGCAGAACAACUCGAUGCAGCGGAAGAACUCUAGCAGCGGAACAACGACGACGGUGGUGAACUCCACUCCGCAGGAACUCUGGCUGGAACGCUUAUCCUAGCUCGCACGAACGGAAACCACGACAAGCAAGCAAUCAAAUCCGGCAUGACCUACAAACUGGCAUGACACGCCAGGUCAGUACAUUGAAUGUACUUGCAAGCUCACAAUAAACCAGAAGCAUUCAAGGCAGACAAUAGCAUGGCAAUUACAGGUUUGGCAGAAUUUAACAUGAUAUCAUCAGAACAAUAUAGCUAACAACUUGAACAUGAUACAGUUAACACAAUAUGCACAUGGCAUGAACAUAUUAAUCCGACAACACUAUCAUGCAACAUGAUGUCACUACAUGCACCACUUAUUCUGCUCGGGCUACCUUGUAACCAUCACAUGCAUCACUUACCGACCUCGGACAUCACACAAUCAUCUUAGGAUCAAAUCAAGCUUGGUAUAAACAAUACCGUAGUAAUCAUUAAAUGACCACAAGGAGCUUGAUCUUUACUCACAACAUCACGAAUAUACAACAACUCGGUAUCCUCGAUACCACCAUGAUCCUUGCGGCGAUCACAACCCGACCAACACUUGGCCCGUGAUCCUUACGGCGGUCACAACCCGACCUACACUUGGCCCGUGAUCCUUACGGCGAUCACAACCCGGCCAACACUUGGACCGUGAUCCUUACGGCGAUCACAACCCGACCACUAAAUGGCCCGUGAUCCUUACGACGAUCACAACCAACUUAUCUCAUUGUUAUUAAGCACAUUAUUCUUAUUACUGUUGACUCAUGGUGUGACCUACUUUCGACCUGGGCCCUUAUCCGCGGGCGCGGCUAUCGAUAGAUUUAAUAUACACUCUGCAGAGGUUAGUACACUGUACCCACACUACGAAACCCAUGGCCUCGCACUCCCAUUCGGGUGGACCAACGGCGUUCCGACAAAACUGAUCUACUAUCAUGACACUCUCCCGGCCACUCCGACCAACUCCCCUCUGGGCUAAGUCAUGGGUGGCCCCGUGUCUAGCUCAAGACACAACGACCACCGUCGUGGCCCGUCCCACUCUGGGACCCGGAUCCAAAAACUAACUCAACAACGGGCACACAAGCCUUAUGUCCGCCUACCUGAUCAGGGUAGCGCGUGCCCAUAACCUUCCCUCGUUGGAGGCACCAGCGAGAGGCACGAAAAUAGACCCAGUUAGGACCGUCCCAUACCGGUAAGCGUGGUUGCACUGGUCAGCAUCGAUUCAGCGGCACCAUGAAUCAGCCAACAAUUGUUCAAGUUCAAUUUAAUCCGGUUAACUUGAAUGCAAAUAUACUGAGCCAUGAUAAAAUACAUGAACAUGAUAUCAACAUAAUCAUGAGGGUAUCGCAUAACUAUCCACCAUAUCAACAAUAAAUCAUAUCCACUGAGCAUGGCAUACUGACUAGCAUGACCAUCACCAACAUCAACAUGUACCACUAGCAAUCAUAAACAUAUGAAAGGUGAUACUAGCAUGUAGAACAUGAUAACAGAGUACAUGACAACAUAGCACAAAAGUGAACAUGCAACUCUAAACAUUACCGGAACAACGAUAACCAUCUUUUCAAAGAGCAAACAUUAAGUAGAGAUUCAAGUUGAAAACCAUGGCUACUGCAUGACUAUCAUGCAACUGGGUAUUGUGGCUUGCCUGGGGAUGAAGAAGGCACCGAGGAGAAGUGCGGUGAAGCCGCGGAAAGAUUUGCCGGAAACAGAUCUCUCUCGGAGGGGGCUGUUUACGUGCAAGGGCAAAAAGGUCAUUUUCACAGUGUCAAACCAUAGUUAAAAUGAAAGCAACAGAAAGAGCUCGACGAUACGAAGAAGUGAGCGUUGGUUUCACCUUAAACGGAGUUACGGUUGCGGAGUUAUGAGGUAUAGAAGAUCAGGGACCAAUCUAUGAAUAUUUUCAUCACCAGCGGGUCCCUGGGAGGAAAAACUGAAAGCGCAUAACGUUAAAUACGUUUUCUGAAAGUGAAAACGUAUACUGUACCGAAGUAGAAGGAAAAUACGUUUUCACCAAAGAAAACCCGUCUCCACUUAUCCACGUGGGCUGAGGCGCCUGGGCCACUGGCGCGUGGGACCCAGGGGCAGGGGGGAGGGGGCCAGCGAGGUCGUCCUCUUCCUCCCGCGCCUCCGUUCCUCCCGUGGAACAGAGCGGGGCAGGGGAGGGAAGCGGCCAAGGGGCGGGCCGGCUCUGGCGAUCCCCGGCCCGGCCGAGGGUACCAGCGGGACCGAGGGGCUGGGCCGCACCAGUUCAGAGGGAGCACGUCCUCCGGGGAGGAGAGGGCUGGAGGGGAGAGGCGGCGGCAUGGGAGGGCAGAGGCGGCUCGGCGGAGGUGGUGUUCGUCGGAGCAGGGCGCUCCAGCGAGGGCUGAGGAGUCGGGGCGGCUCGCGAGGACGAGGGGGAGGCCGUGGUGAGUUCGGGGAGGCACGAGGAGGCUCGGGACGGCCGGAGGAUGCGGUGGCCGAACGACGGAGACGACGGCCGGACUAGGGCGACGCGGCCACGGAACUCUCAGGCGAGGGGCAAGGGGUUUGCACGAACUGCGAGGAGGUGGGGGAGAUCGAGGACAACACCAGGGGAGGAGGGGAUGCUCGAGCUCGCCGGAACCAAGGAGGAACCGCGGCGGCCGAGGCGAAUAGAGGCGAACUCCAGCGAGAUGCCGUGGCUCUGGUGGGCUAGGAGGGACGAGGAGGGGCUUGGGAGCUGCGGGAGAGUCUAGGGGUCCUUAUAUAGGCCGAGGGGAGGCUUCUGGAGCUCACGGGCGAGCUCCCGACCAAGCAUUAAUGGAGGGCAGUGGCUGGGCAUGGCACGGGCAUGGCAUUUGCGACGCAUUCAUGGCGAACAGCGACGAGGCAGAGGCACAGGGCGAUGCAGAGGCUCACGGGGCAGCUACUAGACAUGGUUGGAGGUCGAGACGAGGAGGGAGGAGACGAGCACAGGGACAAGAAGAAGCUAGAGCGCGCAAUCUACAUGACGCAAGGGUGAUCACCACGUGCACUGGUGCAAAUAGCUCGUUUUGGCCAGGACGACCAUGUCCAGUGGAUUGAACCUAGUGACCUUAGUAAAGUUGAGGCAAUAAAUCAUUCCAGGGUCAAAGAAGAGAUUUGCACUUAGCUCCAAAGUAAACCAGAAAACAAGUGUUUGUGCUGUGCAGUGGGGACACCAGCUAGGUAACUCAGUAAAUAGUUUGUCUGGUGAUGAUCAUACACUAAGGUGACUACGAUCACAAGAAAUCAGCUUAAGAGGAGGAGUUUAAAGGGUGGUUGCUGUAGAAAGUGACCCACUGGUCAGAAAUGGGAAUUUGGAUGAUGCACUCACAUGGUUGCAUCAAUAGAGCUUAAAAUGUUUAUGGCCCAUUUGAAGAUAUUAAGAUGCCCAAGGAGUUUCAUGCCAUUUGGAGGAACCAAAAUAGCACUUGCUUCAGAAAGAUUUAUUCUGAGCAGAAACUUGGAAACAUUCCACAGGGCAAAUGGUCAAAGGGAUUGAGCCACAACUUGGUGCAGGUAGGUUAUAUGGAUACUAGAAGGUAUAGAAAAAUUGACAGCCAUAAUGGAGCAAGAUAAAAUAUACUUGCUUCACAAACUGAAAUUUUGACCAGAAAUUAAGAAUUGAAGUUGUGCUCACAUGGAGGCAUGACAUGAGCUCACCUUUGGUGGAGGGCUAUGAUAUGAUGAUAUUAAGGUCCAUGCAAAAUGGCAACUCAUUUGAAUAUUCCUAGCUUGUACCUCCUUCACAAAGCUUCUUUCUGGACAGAAACUUUGGAAAAUCAUAAUUAAACAAUUACUAGGCAAAUGAGGUUGCAUUUUGGCAUGUGGCAAUUAUAUGGACAUGAAAAUAUGUCCGAGGAGUUUUAGGUCAAUUGGGCAAAGGAAAAUGGCACCUGCUUCACAAUGUACCAUUUAGGGCAGAAUAGGAAAUGAAUUAUUGGAGGAUUAUUUUUGAACAUGGCAAUGAAAAGUUUUGCCAUAUUUGAUCAAGAUAUGACCCAAACUAUUUAUUAGAAUUAUUUGGCAAUUUUUGGAGUGAUGGAAAUAUAGGUUGCUUCACAACCUAGGGCAAUUUGAGUUAUUCCUUUAAUAGAAAAGGAAAUAUUCCCAAUAAAAAGAAUAUUGGGAUUUGGGCUAGGAUGAAAAUGACAGGGUCUAGGGAAAGAUUUGGGAAUGACAAGCCACUCUGGAAGCAAAGAAGAGAGCAUUUCUUCAGUUUCGAGACCACAAAGCCACCAAAAAGAAAAACUCACGCAAAAACCUCGGAAAAACAAAAGAAA